rnacentral:rRNA from 1 species
CAGUCGAGCGGAGGUGGACUUGACACUGAAUAUUCACCAAAAGUGAUUACAGCGCUAGGCAGCGUAAUCAGAAGUUUUGUCCUAUCGGACGUUAUAUAAUAAAAAAACUUCUGUACGCAUUAAUAGUGCAACACAAGAAAUGAGUAUUGAGUGUCAAGUACAACUUUAGCGGCGGACGGGUGCGUAACGCGUGGGUAAUCUGCCCUUGUCACUGGGAUAACACAUCGAAAGGUGUGCUAAUACCGGAUAAAAUACAGACUCGGCAUCGAGAUUGUAUCAAAAUCAUGCGGACAAGGAUGAGCCUGCGUCUGAUUAGCUAGUUGGUGGGGUAAAAGCCUACCAAGCCGACGAUCUGUAGCUGGUCUGAGAGGACGACCAGCCACACUGGGACUGAGACACGGCCCAGACUCCUACGGGAGGCAGCAGUGGGGAAUUUUGGACAAUGGGCGCAAGCCUGAUCCAGCAAUGCCGCGUGCAGGAUGAAGGCCUUCGGGUUGUAAACUGCUUUUGUACGGAGCGAAAAGGUCUCUUCUAAUACAGGAGGCCCAUGACGGUACCGUAAGAAUAAGCACCGGCUAACUACGUGCCAGCAGCCGCGGUAAUACGUAGGGUGCAAGCGUUAAUCGGAAUUACUGGGCGUAAAGCGUGCGCAGGCGGUGUUGUAAGACAGAGGUGAAAUCCCCGGGCUCAACCUGGGAACUGCCUUUGUGACUGCAACGCUAGAGUACGGCAGAGGGGGAUGGAAUUCCGCGUGUAGCAGUGAAAUGCGUAGAUAUGCGGAGGAACACCGAUGGCGAAGGCAAUCCCCUGGGCCUGUACUGACGCUCAUGCACGAAAGCGUGGGGAGNCAACAGGAUUAGAUACCCUGGUAGUCCACGCCCUAAACGAUGUCAACUGGUUGUUGGGUCUUCACUGACUCAGUAACGAAGCUAACGCGUGAAGUUGACCGCCUGGGGAAUACGGCCGCAAGGUUAAAACUUCAAGGAAUUGACGGGGACCCGCACAGCGGUGGAUGAUGGGGUUUAAUUCCAUGCAACGCAAAAACCUACCCACCUUUGACUGCCAAAAAUCUUAAAAAA